GGGUGACUGCGUACCUUUUGUAUAAUGGGUCAGCGACUUAUAUUCUGUAGCAAGGUUAACCGUAUAGGGGAGCCGCAGGGAAACCGAGUCUUAACUGGGCGUUAAGUUGCAGGGUAUAGACCCGAAACCCGGUGAUCUAGCCAUGGGCAGGUUGAAGGUUGGGUAACACUAACUGGAGGACCGAACCGACUAAUGUUGAAAAAUUAGCGGAUGACUUGUGGCUGGGGGUGAAAGGCCAAUCAAACCGGGAGAUAGCUGGUUCUCCCCGAAAGCUAUUUAGGUAGCGCCUCGUGAAUUCAUCUUCGGGGGUAGAGCACUGUUUCGGCUAGGGGGUCAUCCCGACUUACCAACCCGAUGCAAACUACGAAUACCGAAGAAUGUUAUCACGGGAGACACACGGCGGGUGCUAACGUCCGUCGUGAAGAGGGAAACAACCCAGACCGCCAGCUAAGGUCCCAAAGUCAUGGUUAAGUGGGAAACGAUGUGGGAAGGCCCAGACAGCCAGGAUGUUGGCUUAGAAGCAGCCAUCAUUUAAAGAAAGCGUAAUAGCUCACUGGUCGAGUCGGCCUGCGCGGAAGAUGUAACGGGGCUAAACCAUGCACCGAAGCUGCGGCAGCGACACUAUGUGUUGUUGGGUAGGGGAGCGUUCUGUAAGCCGUUGAAGGUGGCCUGUGAGGGUUGCUGGAGGUAUCAGAAGUGCGAAUGCUGACAUAAGUAACGAUAAUGCGGGUGAAAAACCCCCGCACGCCGGAAGACCAAGGGUUCCUGUCCAACGUUAAUCGGGGCAGGGUGAGUCGACCCCUAAGGCGAGGCCGAAAGGCGUAGUCGAUGGGAAACAGGUUAAUAUUCCUGUACUCGGUGUUACUGCGAAGGGGGGACGGAGAAGGCUAUGUUGGCCGGGCGACGGUUGUCCCGGUUUAAGCAUGUAGGCGGAUGUUCCAGGUAAAUCCGGAACGUCACUAACGCUGAGGUGUGAUGACGAGGCACUACGGUGCUGAAGUGACAAAUGCCCUGCUUCCAGGAAAAGCCUCUAAGCAUCAGGUAACAUCAAAUCGUACCCCAAACCGACACAGGUGGUCAGGUAGAGAAUACCAAGGCGCUUGAGAGAACUCGGGUGAAGGAACUAGGCAAAAUGGUGCCGUAACUUCGGGAGAAGGCACGCUGAUGGUAAGUGAAGCGACUUGCUCGUGGAGCUGAAAUCAGUCGAAGAUACCAGCUGGCUGCAACUGUUUAUUAAAAACACAGCACUGUGCAAACACGAAAGUGGACGUAUACGGUGUGACGCCUGCCCGGUGCCGGAAGGUUAAUUGAUGGGGUUAUCCGUAAGGAGAAGCUCUUGAUCGAAGCCCCGGUAAACGGCGGCCGUAACUAUAACGGUCCUAAGGUAGCGAAAUUCCUUGUCGGGUAAGUUCCGACCUGCACGAAUGGCGUAAUGAUGGCCAGGCUGUCUCCACCCGAGACUCAGUGAAAUUGAACUCGCUGUGAAGAUGCAGUGUACCCGCGGCAAGACGGAAAGACCCCGUGAACCUUUACUAUAGCUUGACACUGAACACUGGUCCUUGAUGUGUAGGAUAGGUGGGAGGCUUUGAAGUGUGGACGCCAGUCUGCAUGGAGCCAUCCUUGAAAUACCACCCUUUAAUGGCUGGUGUUCUAACGUGGGCCCCUAAUCGGGGUUGCGGACAGUGUCUGGUGGGUAGUUUGACUGGGGCGGUCUCCUCCUAAAGAGUAACGGAGGAGCACGAAGGUCAGCUAAUCCUGGUCGGACAUCAGGAGGUUAGUGCAAUGGCAUAAGCUGGCUUGACUGCGAGCGUGACGGCGCGAGCAGGUGCGAAAGCAGGUCAUAGUGAUCCGGUGGUUCUGAAUGGAAGGGCCAUCGCUCAACGGAUAAAAGGUACUCCGGGGAUAACAGGCUGAUACCGCCCAAGAGUUCAUAUCGACGGCGGUGUUUGGCACCUCGAUGUCGGCUCAUCACAUCCUGGGGCUGAAGUAGGUCCCAAGGGUAUGGCUGUUCGCCAUUUAAAGUGGUACGCGAGCUGGGUUUAGAACGUCGUGAGACAGUUCGGUCCCUAUCUGCCGUGGGCGCUGGAGAAUUGAGGGGGGCUGCUCCUAGUACGAGAGGACCGGAGUGGACGCAUCACUGGUGUUCGGGUUGUCAUGCCAAUGGCAUUGCCCGGUAGCUAAAUGCGGAAGAGAUAAGUGCUGAAAGCAUCUAAGCACGAAACUUGCCCCGAGAUGAGUUCUCCCUGACCCUUUAAGGGUCCUGAAGGAACGUUGAAGACGACGACGUUGAUAGGCCGGGUGUGUAAGCGCAGCGAUGCGUUGAGCUAACCGGUACUAAUGAACCGUGAGGCUUAACCUU
rnacentral:rRNA from 2 species